rnacentral:misc_RNA from 1 species
GUUUCGGACCAAAAUUAUAUAGGUUUUUCGCUAAACGAUUGAAGUAAGAUUACCAUGCCCUUCUCCAGUAUGCUCCGUAGCACCCUGCAUCAAGCUAAACGGAAACAGAGACCUCUGUUUUGAUUCUCUCCUAUUCCCUAUUAAUCAACGAGACGCUGAAUCAAGCAAAAACUUUUCUGGCUUCGCAUAACUUCAAUGGGCCGCAGAAAAACCGAUUCGGAACUCGGUCGUUAUGCACUUGUCAUCCUCUUCUUGAUGAGUACAAUUUCCUGCUGCAUGGUCUAUAUCUGCUUCUCUCUAGUUUUCAGACCCAGAACAGCAUCUCUGGAUUUAGGAGCCAAUAAAUUUGUGGAGAGUGGACAACGAGAAGAUGGCGAGUGUUGCAGAGGGAUUGAGCAUUUGGAGUUGUGGGGUGAUGCCGUGAAGUGGGGCUCUGAUUUCAGGGUCAAUUCUUCGAAACAUUGUUGUAUGGCUUGUAAGAAUAUGUGUGGUGGUGAGGAUGGACCUUGUUUGUGUGAUUCUUGGGUGUUUUGUGGGGAUAAAAAGGCUUGUGGGUCUAAAUUCGGCGAGUGUUGGCUGAAGAAACAGAAGGAUUCCUUGGAGCCUGAUCGGAGAGACUCUGGUGACCAGGUUAUGUGGACUUCUGGACUAGUUUUUGGGAAAGGAGAGGGUAUCAUUGGACUGGAAACAGAAUAUGGGAUGCUUCAUUUGAAACUUUUACCAGAUUGUGCCCCACAUUCUGUUUCGUAUAUUCUUGAGUUAUUGACAUUACAUCAUUGUGCGGGUUGCCAUUUUUAUCGUGCUGAAAGUCGUGGAAGGUUUUGGGAUUUAGAAGGAAAUCAUAUCAAACAGGCCCCAUUUGGCCCUCCAUUUGCACUUAUUCAAGGAACACUUGAAGCCCACGGGACGAUAUUCAAGGAUAUUCCAACAGAGGCAUGCCCUAUCAUAAGAAGAGGCUCAAUUGCAUGGGUUGGUUCUGGUCCAGAAUUCUUUAUCAGCUUGGCUAACCACAACGAAUGGCGAAAGGCAUACACUGUAUUUGGCUUUGUUCUUCCUGAGGAUAUGGAAAUCGUAGAGAAAAUUGCAAAUCUUCCAACCAAACCAGAGGUGUGGAGUAACAUUAAUGUUGCUGUCCUGGAAAAGCCUGUUCAAAUACAUUUCCGAAAAAUUAGAAAUCCUGGAAACCUGGACAGAAGUUCCAUUGAAUCGUAGUUUAAGAUGCUUAUUGUCAUGCUCUAUAUCUUCUCCCCAACACCCUCACUUCCUUUCUUUUGGAUUAGAUUUUAUGUACUUGGGAUGACUGGACUUGGGAUCUAUGUAAUACCGUUUAAAAUUUGUAGAUAGACAAUCAGACAAAAGAAAAAAAGAAUCAAUCUUAAUGGGCAUGGAAUCUGUGUUCACUUGUUGAGGUGUAUCCAUCUACUGACAGGCAAACCUUCAUUUUUUCCUGUUGUAUUCAUUUUAGAGCUAAAUCAAGAAUUAGAAGGAUGAUGCUUUUACUCA